rnacentral:rRNA from 1 species
UACGAAGGGGCUAGCGUUGCUCGGAAUCACUGGGCGUAAAGCGCACGUAGGCGGCUUUCUAAGUCAGGGGUGAAAUCCUGGAGCUCAACUCCAGAACUGCCUUUGAUACUGGAGAGCUUGAGUCCGGAAGAGGUGAGUGGAACUCCGAGUGUAGAGGUGAAAUUCGUAGAUAUCGCAAGAACACCAGUGGCGAAGGCGGCUCACUGGCCCGAGUACUGACGCUGAGGCACGAAAGCGUGGGGAGCAAACAGGG